AUGGCCCCUGCAUUGGCAUCGCUGGCUCCCAACCCUGGCUCACUCCUGAUGGUGUUGACGACCUGCAGACUCCUUCUGCCAUCUAGGGAGCCGUGGGUCAUCCCCCAGCCAAAAGUUAACCUCUGGCGUGCCUUGGCUCAGUCAUUAGGGCAAGACAGCAUAUGCCUUGACACCGGCGCAGCAGAGGACCCGAUGUCGUCCUGCCUUGUGGGGAUCCCUUUCUCUCCUGGCGAAUUCCCCUCUGCCUUCCAGGCUGCCCUUUCCCCCAUUUUGGCCUGGAGCCUUACUUUCCUCCCCGGCUUUGAACCCAGCAACGCCUGGAGAGACGGAGUGGCGAGGCUGGAUCCUGCGCCCUCCGAGCCCACAGAAUUACACUUACUCGGUUCCGCCAAUUCUUCUAUUUGUUUUCAGUUUGAUUAUACCAUUACCCCCAUAGAGAGGGGCAGUGAGGUGGUCCUGCAAACAAAGAAGGAAUAUCAGGCUAACCAGUGGUGUCGGGCUGUUCUGAAGAUCGUCGGCCCCACCACUACUAAGCGGACCCCUUACGCCCUUCCAAGGGGGGUGUUUUUGAUUUGUGGCAACCGAGCGUGGGCAGGCAUCCCCUCUGGUCUGGUCGGAGGGCCGUGCACUUUUGGCCGGCUGUCGCUGUUUACCCCCAACAUCACCCAAAUUAUCAACUGGAAAAGGACAAACGUCACAUCUGAAUUAGCUAGACCUAAAAGAGAUCUCAAAGAUCUCACCGAAGAUUGUGACGAUGAAAUUACUCAUUGGUCACAUCCUAAAUCUGUCGCCUUUACCAUCCUAUUGCCUUGGGUAUCGGUGGCUAAGGCUCUGGGCGAAUUGGGCCGCCUGGAGUGUUGGGUGGUUAAACAAGCCAAUUAUACUUCAGCCGCGUUAUACGACCUCCUUAAAGACGAGGAAAUUACAAGGAAGGCGACACUCCAAAACAGGGCAGCAAUAGAUUUUCUAUUGCUGCUCCAUCACCAUCACUGUGAGGAGUUUGAGGGCCUCUGCUGUCUGAACCUGUCCUCUCGAGCCGAGGACGCCAAACACUCCAUUAAAAGACUCCAAGACCUCGUCCAUCAGGUCAAACAGGAGACAUCGGACUGGCUGGGGGACAUAUUCAAGGGUUGGGGCUUUAGCGGGUGGGCCAGCUCAGUCUUAGAAUCUGUUUGUAAAAUGGUUGUAAGUUUGAUUGUACUUUUAGUUUUGUUCAUACUGGUCCGCGGCUUGGUCCAAAGACUGAUAGCCAGAGCAACAUCAAUAACUGCCAAUCAUGCCGCAAUUCCUCUGGAAGAUCACUUCGAGCUGAAGGACCUCUCCUCAGAGGCCGGAAGAGCUGCGGAUGAGGAGGGGUCAACCGAGCCGCCUCAAGAACAUCUAGGUACACGCGAAUUCCAGCUCGAAGAAGGCGAGGAUUGGCAGGACCAGCCGCAGGCAUUGUAUUUUUGA
rnacentral:lncRNA from 1 species